AGAUGGCUGUUUAGGACUAUGGGAAUGAGGGCUGUUGUCGUCCUGAAGCCCGAGGGAGAAGCCGACACGGAGGGAAGUGCACGUGACAGGUGGAAACGUAUUCUGAAGACACUAGGAGUUACCGAAGGACAGUGGUCCUGGGCUCUCCUCCUGUGGUGCCACGUGCCAUUUGAUAGACAGCCGAGCUUGUGGUUGGCCCGAAUCACCGACCCAGUGGCCACCGCUCCUGCUGCACCCCCCCCCACCGCUGUCCCACCCCCAGCCAGAGCUCUGGGAACUGGACUGUCACAACACACCGGAGGGGUCUCUUGUGCCCUUUGUGAGACAGCAAGGUGAACAUAGCGCAAAGAGCACAGACUGUGAGAAAGCGGCCGUUCCAGGCAAGGCAAAUCGAUACCGCGCUCAGCGAUUCAUCUUCAUUCGGACCACAUCCCCGCACCAGCCCCGGUGCUUUUCUCCCGGCCUCCUCCUGAUGGGUUCCUGGAUGCUGACGAAUAGGAUUCUCGGCCGCGGCCACGCCGCGUUAGCAGAUUAAAUCGUUAA